rnacentral:tRNA from 1 species
GCCUUCGUGGUGUAAUGGUCAGCACGCUCGUCGAGAGGUCCGAGGUUCGAGUCCCGGCGAGAGCA